rnacentral:rRNA from 1 species
CCUACGGGCGGCAGCAAUUAGGAAUAUUACACAAUGGGGGCAACCCUGAUGUAGCGACACAGCGUGGAGGAAGAAGGUCUUCGGAUUGUAAACUCCUUUUAUAUGGGACGAAUAGAUGACGGUACCAUAUGAAUAAGUACCUGCUAACUACGUGCCAGAAGCAUCGGUGAUGCGUAGGGUACAAACGUUAUCCGGAUUUAUUGGGCGUAAAGAGAUGCGUAGGCGUUCUUGUAAGUCUUGAGUUAAAGACCACGGCUCAACCGUGGAAAAGCUUUCGAAACUACAAGAAUUGAGACAGGAAUGGGCGAAUGGAAUUCCCAGUGGAGCGGUGAAAUGCGUUGAUAUUGGGAGGAACAUCAGUGGCGAAAGCGAUUCGCUGGUCCUUGUCUGACGCUAAGGCUCGAAAGCGUGGGUAGCAAAAC